rnacentral:rRNA from 1 species
CGGGACACGUGGUAUCCUGUCUGAAUAUGGGGGGACCAUCCUCCAAGGCUAAAUACUCCUGACUGACCGAUAGUGAACCAGUACCGUGAGGGAAAGGCGAAAAGAACCCCGGCGAGGGGAGUGAAAAAGAACCUGAAACCGUGUACGUACAAGCAGUGGGAGCACGCUUAGGCGUGUGACUGCGUACCUUUUGUAUAAUGGGUCAGCGACUUAUAUUCUGUAGCAAGGUUAACCGAAUAGGGGAGCCGAAGGGAAACCGAGUCUUAACUGGGCGUUAAGUUGCAGGGUAUAGACCCGAAACCCGGUGAUCUAGCCAUGGGCAGGUUGAAGGUUGGGUAACACUAACUGGAGGACCGAACCGACUAAUGUUGAAAAAUUAGCGGAUGACUUGUGGCUGGGGGUGAAAGGCCAAUCAAACCGGGAGAUAGCUGGUUCUCCCCGAAAGCUAUUUAGGUAGCGCCUCGUGAAUUCAUCUCCGGGGGUAGAGCACUGUUUCGGCAAGGGGGUCAUCCCGACUUACCAACCCGAUGCAAACUGCGAAUACCGGAGAAUGUUAUCACGGGAGACACACGGCGGGUGCUAACGUCCGUCGUGAAGAGGGAAACAACCCAGACCGCCAGCUAAGGUCCCAAAGUCAUGGUUAAGUGGGAAACGAUGUGGGAAGGCCCAGACAGCCAGGAUGUUGGCUUAGAAGCAGCCAUCAUUUAAAGAAAGCGUAAUAGCUCACUGGUCGAGUCGGCCUGCGCGGAAGAUGUAACGGGGCUAAACCAUGCACCGAAGCUGCGGCAGCGACGCUGAUGCGUUGUUGGGUAGGGGAGCGUUCUGUAAGCCUGUGAAGGUGUGCUGUGAGGCAUGCUGGAGGUAUCAGAAGUGCGAAUGCUGACAUAAGUAACGAUAAAGCGGGUGAAAAGCCCGCUCGCCGGAAGACCAAGGGUUCCUGUCCAACGUUAAUCGGGGCAGGGUGAGUCGACCCCUAAGGCGAGGCCGAAAGGCGUAGUCGAUGGGAAACAGGUUAAUAUUCCUGUACUUGGUGUUACUGCGAAGGGGGGACGGAGAAGGCUAUGUUGGCCGGGCGACGGUUGUCCCGGUUUAAGCGUGUAGGCUGGUUUUCCAGGCAAAUCCGGAAAAUCAAGGCUGAGGCGUGAUGACGAGGCACUACGGUGCUGAAGCAACAAAUGCCCUGCUUCCAGGAAAAGCCUCUAAGCAUCAGGUAACAUCAAAUCGUACCCCAAACCGACACAGGUGGUCAGGUAGAGAAUACCAAGGCGCUUGAGAGAACUCGGGUGAAGGAACUAGGCAAAAUGGUGCCGUAACUUCGGGAGAAGGCACGCUGAUAUGUAGGUGAAGCGACUUGCUCGUGGAGCUGAAAUCAGUCGAAGAUACCAGCUGGCUGCAACUGUUUAUUAAAAACACAGCACUGUGCAAACACGAAAGUGGACGUAUACGGUGUGACGCCUGCCCGGUGCCGGAAGGUUAAUUGAUGGGGUCAGCGCAAGCGAAGCUCUUGAUCGAAGCCCCGGUAAACGGCGGCCGUAACUAUAACGGUCCUAAGGUAGCGAAAUUCCUUGUCGGGUAAGUUCCGACCUGCACGAAUGGCGUAAUGAUGGCCAGGCUGUCUCCACCCGAGACUCAGUGAAAUUGAACUCGCUGUGAAGAUGCAGUGUACCCGCGGCAAGACGGAAAGACCCCGUGAACCUUUACUAUAGCUUGACACUGAACAUUGAGCCUUGAUGUGUAGGAUAGGUGGGAGGCUUUGAAGUGUGGACGCCAGUCUGCAUGGAGCCGGCCUUGAAAUACCACCCUUUAAUGUUUGAUGUUCUAACGUUGACCCGUGAUCCGGGUUGCGGACAGUGUCUGGUGGGUAGUUUGACUGGGGCGGUCUCCUCCUAAAGAGUAACGGAGGAGCACGAAGGUUGGCUAAUCCUGGUCGGACAUCAGGAGGUUAGUGCAAUGGCAUAAGCCAGCUUGACUGCGAGCGUGACGGCGCGAGCAGGUGCGAAAGCAGGUCAUAGUGAUCCGGUGGUUCUGAAUGGAAGGGCCAUCGCUCAACGGAUAAAAGGUACUCCGGGGAUAACAGGCUGAUACCGCCCAAGAGUUCAUAUCGACGGCG